rnacentral:lncRNA from 1 species
GCUACAGUUUCAACUGCGACUAAGAGAAAGGUCUGCUUCAGCUCGCCAUGUUUGCGCACAAGAGUUACCGAGCAAUUAUUUUGCUUGCAUUUUGUUUAUUGCUUAUAAUUGAAAAGUCAAGUGCGGAAACUGCAUCAGGAAGCUGCCGUGUAGGUCAGGAAUGUCAACCCAGUUUGAACGGUACGGAUUGCGGAGGUGACAAGAACUGUAUCUGCGUCUGGUUCCUCAAUAUCAGUGACAAAAAAUUCCAGUGUCAGAACGUUAGCUAACAACAGUCAAGUUCUGCAAGCAAAUGGAAUAAAUGU